rnacentral:lncRNA from 10 species
UAAGUUAUUUCACUGGUUCAAUAAUGGAGUUAGAUCAUUAUGGGGGCAGUGCUCAGGGAAAAGCCCAUGAACAGGGUGGGUGAUAUGGUUAGGCUUCGUGUCCCCACUCAAAUCUCAUCUUGAAUUGUAAUCCCCAGGUGUUGAAGGAGGGAGCUGGUGGGAGGUUAUUGGAUCAUGGGGGCAGUUUCCCCCAUGCCUAGUGAUAGUAACUGAGUGCUCACGAGAUCUGAUGGUUUUAUAAGAGUUCAGAAGUUCCUCCUUUUUCACUCGUCUCUCUCCUGCUGCCUUGUGAAGAAGGUGCUUGCUUCCCCUUCCACUAUGAUUGUAAGUUGCCUGAAACCUCCUCAGCCAUGAGGAACUGUAAGUCAAUUAAACCUCUUUCCUUUAUAAAUGA